GGGGGGUGGCGGUUUCCUGAGAGUAAGAUAUGAAUUAGUUAGAUCAAUCAGUGUAUUGAUGGGUAAAGGAACUAGUGAACUAGCCCAUUGUUUGAUUCUCACAUGUUGCUUCACGCGCAACUGGCUAAAAGGGAUUCCAGACUCCCAACAGAGUAUAGACUAUUGAUGAUUCAACAGCCGGGGGUAAAUGCAGUAAACCAUUUACCCAGGAUUGGUUUACAAUCCUCAGUCUAUUGUUUUUUAAUGAAUGUUCUGAUCAGAUCAGCAAAAUUUAAAACAGAGCAGUGUCUUUUGAUGUUUUGAAUCCUUUGUUAAAAAAAAAAAAUGAAACACACACACAAACUCACACACACCACACACCUCCCACUCUUUUCUGUGAUGUCAUAACCUGAGGUCAUCAAUCAAAAUCACUGUAUAAAAACCCGUUGGUAAUCCACAAUUUACAUUCUGGAGCCAACACAGACGCUUGAAGACCUCAAACGCUUUGACGCUCCUUGAUUUCAACCGCAAUAUGGACUUUGGUGAGAGAAAAAACUUUUAAUAUGAAAUUAUCACAAUAUAUUACUUUUAUUAAAAUUACCUUUAAGUAGUUAAAUGACUGUUUCUUAUGGUUUAAUAGGAAUUUAAUAGGAAUCACUCAUCUUUCAGCUUAAUUAAUGAUCAGAAUGUUUCAUUGUUGAAACUGUGACAGACUGUGAUGCUGUGACAGACGAAAGUGUGCUAUAUCAUCCAUUUCAAACCUCGUCUCUCUCCUUCCCUUUCUGACCUGGACCUGGAUGCUUCAGUGCCCUGACUACAGCUAAACAGCAGAAUAGUUUAAUAAUGAGGAAAACUGACCAAAGUGGCAGGACAGUAUAAAUAAAGAUGUUAUUAACAUUUAAGGGAAUGAACAUACAGAUUAUACAAUAGCCAAGAACUCCCAUCCAUGCAGCAGCAGAACAUGCCAGCCUGUAUCUCAGGGGCUUGUACUUCAGGAAAGUGACAGGAUGGACCACCGCCAUGUAACGCUCCACACAGAUCAAACAGAGAAACAGAGGACGGGCGCAGAUAAAUACCCCCCCCAUAAAAACUACUAA